rnacentral:rRNA from 1 species
GUGCCAGCCGCCGCGGUAAUACAGGGGGGGCAAGCGUUGUUCGGAAUUACUGGGCGUAAAGGGUUUGUAGGUGGCUUGUUAAGUCAGACGUGAAAUCCCUCAGCUUAACUGGGGAACUGCGUCUGAUACUGAUGAGCUUGAGUGCAGGAGAGGAACGCGGAAUUCCAGGUGUAGCGGUGAAAUGCGUAGAUAUCUGGAGGAACACCGGUGGCGAAGGCGGCGUUCUGGACUGCAACUGACACUGAGAAACGAAAGCCAGGGGAGCAAACGGGAUUAGAUACCCGAGUAGUCC